rnacentral:rRNA from 1 species
UUAUUGGAGAGUUUGAUCCUGGCUCAGGAUGAACGCUGGCGGCGUGCCUAAUACAUGCAAGUCGAGCGAAUGGAUUAAGAGCUUGCUCUUAUGAAGUUAGCGGCGGACGGGUGAGUAACACGUGGGUAACCUGCCCAUAAGACUGGGAUAACUCCGGGAAACCGGGGCUAAUACCGGAUAACAUUUUGAACUGCAUGGUUCGAAAUUGAAAGGCGGCUUCGGCUGUCACUUAUGGAUGGACCCGCGUCGCAUUAGCUAGUUGGUGAGGUAACGGCUCACCAAGGCAACGAUGCGUAGCCGACCUGAGAGGGUGAUCGGCCACACUGGGACUGAGACACGGCCCAGACUCCUACGGGAGGCAGCAGUAGGGAAUCUUCCGCAAUGGACGAAAGUCUGACGGAGCAACGCCGCGUGAGUGAUGAAGGCUUUCGGGUCGUAAAACUCUGUUGUUAGGGAAGAACAAGUGCUAGUUGAAUAAGCUGGCACCUUGACGGUACCUAACCAGAAAGCCACGGCUAACUACGUGCCAGCAGCCGCGGUAAUACGUAGGUGGCAAGCGUUAUCCGGAAUUAUUGGGCGUAAAGCGCGCGCAGGUGGUUUCUUAAGUCUGAUGUGAAAGCCCACGGCUCAACCGUGGAGGGUCAUUGGAAACUGGGAGACUUGAGUGCAGAAGAGGAAAGUGGAAUUCCAUGUGUAGCGGUGAAAUGCGUAGAGAUAUGGAGGAACACCAGUGGCGAAGGCGACUUUCUGGUCUGUAACUGACACUGAGGCGCGAAAGCGUGGGGAGCAA